UGUAUGUAUACGUAUAUGUAUAUAUAUCCCAAUUAGACCCAUCCCCUCCAACUCUCCAUUAAACUCGCCACUUCAAGGGAGAAUUGCACUAGAUUUUAUUCUAUCUUCAUGUAUGUAGAAUCCUUGGCAAUAUUUCCCAACCCUUUACCCUGUUGUCUUGCCCUUACCCAUCCUGCUUGUAGCCACUCGUCCAUCCAUCUGUUUAACAUUCUUGACAUUCUUUUUAGAACUAGAUUUUGGAAAUGAGAACAUGUGAUAUUUGACUUUCUUAGCCGGGCUUAUUUUGCUUAACAUAUUCUCUAGUUUUACCUAUUUUCUUGCA